rnacentral:rRNA from 1 species
AGCAGCCGCGGUAAUUCCAGCUCCAAUAGCGUAUAUUAAAGUUGUUGCAGUUAAAAAGCUCGUAGUUGAAUUUCGGGGUUAGUAGGUUGGUCGUGCCACUGGUACGUACUGGUCUCACUGACUCCUCCUUCCUGAUGAACUGUAAUGCCAUUAAUUUGGUGUUGCGGGGAAACUGGACUGUUACUUUGAAAAAUUAGAGUGUUUAAAGCAAGCUAACGCUUGAAUACAUUAGCAUGGAAUAAUGAAAUAGGACGUUCGAUCCUAUUUUGUUGGUUUCUAGGAUUGACGUAAUGAUUAAUAGGGAUAGUUGGGGCAUUAGUAUUCAAUUGUCAGAGGUGAAAUUCUUGGAUUUAUUGAAGACUAACUACUGCGAAAGCAUUUUGCCAAGGAUGUUUUCAUUAAUCAAGAACGAAAGUUAGGGGAUCGAAGACGAUCAGAUACCGUCGUAGUCUUAACCAUAAACUAUGCCGAACUAGGGAUCGGAUGAUGUUAAUUUUUAAUGACUCAUUCGGCGCCUUAC